UAUAGGGAUAUCAACUUUUCUAUUAGCAUCAUUUAUAUCAAAUGUAUUUUUCGGCGGUGACAGCUACGGCGCUUGCCAAACGCGCUGCAAUUUGGCAGCAAUGGCAUGUUAUGCGGGUGCUGGGUUUCAAUUUGGCGCUGUUACCUUUGGUAUCGGCACUCCGGCAGCUCUUUUAGCUUGCGCUUCAGCGCAGGGGUCAUGUAUGGCAUUAUGCGCCGCUCAAUAUUUGUGAUAGACUGAUGGAUUAGUGAGGCCCGACUUCGAUCUUUCAACAUGAAAAAAACCUGCAAGCAUUUAUCAUAAAAUGGAGAUAAUCAUUUAACCACAAUAUGUAUUACGCUUAUAAUUUUUCAUUUUAUAACUGUCUAUUUUCUAUUGUUUAUACCUACUUUUUUCAUGAUUUAUCACUCAGUGAACGUUGGUGUAUUAAUCGUUAUAAUUUUUUGUAUUAUUAACUCUUUAAGCUUUUUUUAAUAAUGCGAAGCGGCAGCGUACUUCAUUUUCGUUACGUACGUCUGUUUUUUUUGCUCUUGUUUGAGAAUAUACUUUGAAAUUUA